rnacentral:lncRNA from 1 species
AAGAGGAGAAAGAGAGAGAAUAUUGAGCCAAUUGCAAGAGGGAAGAUCCAGCGCCGCCUAUCCGCCGCCUGGUGGUGGUGCCGGAAAUGCAUGUAGUAGUUCUUCAGCCGCUUCAUAUUUUCUUCCUUUUUCUGGUGUGGGGGUUCCGAUUUUCCUGGAGGUGUGAAGAUGGUUGUGUGACUGGUUUGGUCUGGGAUUGGGGAGGGGUAUAUAAAUUAGAUGGUGGAGGAGGAGGGAAAAUGUCACGGUGGCGGUGGGGGGCCGGGGGGGGGGGUUCGUGGGGGAGGGAAAAGGGGGGGGGGAGAAGAGCGAGCAGUGGGAAGAGGAUCCCGCGGCAGAUAAGAGAACACGUGCAGCAGAUCUAUCAAAGCCAAACAGAAACAAAAACCGUCAAUCAACAGGAACACGAAGUUCACCAAGCUGAUCAGUAGUGUUUAAAAAAUCUCACCGUCCUGAGUCACGAGCGGGUAGUCGGAAGCACUGAGGUUAAUGAACCAAUCCCAAUCGGAUCCUUCCCUCAGCAAGAUCGCCGCAGCGUGAAGCGUAUUGGCAACCAUGGUGGGACCUCUGUAAGUGACGAGGUUAGCCUUGGCAAUCAUCUUCACAUUCCCGAACUUGACAAAAACCCUAUGGUCCCUCACGAAAUCGGCCAGAUCCGUCCGCUCGUCAGGGGAGGACUCGGCGUCCAAAUGCACCACGUAGCGGUUAUUAGGGUGGUAGAGAGCAAGUAGGGUUCGCUUGAGCAUGUCGCCGUCGCCCUUGGAGCCGGAGAUCAAGUAGGCGAAUCGCGGCGGCGGAGGGAGAUCGGAGAGCGGGAUGGGCUGCAGCUUGGUCUCGACGAAUUUGGAGCUGAAGGAUGAGUACAUUGUGCGGUAGAAGGGGAAGAUUGGGACACCGGCAGGGGAAUAGACGGUAGUAGUUAGGAAGAGGAGAAAGAGAGAGAAUAUUGAGCCAAUUGCAAGAGGGAAGAUCCAGCGCCGCCUAUCCGCCGCCUGGUGGUGGUGCCGGAAAUGCAUGUAGUAGUUCUUCAGCCGCUUCAUAUUUUCUUCCUUUUUCUGGUGUGGGGGUUCCGAUUUUCCUGGAGGUGUGAAGAUGGUUGUGUGACUGGUUUGGUCUGGGAUUGGGGAGGGGUAUAUAAAUUAGAUGGUGGAGGAGGAGGGAAAAUGUCACGGUGGCGGUGGGGGGCCGGGGGGGGGGGUUCGUGGG